AAAUGCGAUAAGUAGUGUGAAUUGCAGAAUUCAGUGAAUCAUCGAAUCUUUGAACGCACAUUGCGCCCCUUAGUAUUCCAUGGGGCAUGCCUGUUCGAGCGUCAUUUGUACCCUCAAGCUCUGCUUGGUGUUGGGUGUUUGUCCCCGUCUCCGCGCGUGGACUCGCCCCAAAGUGAUUGGCAGUCGGCGUACUGGUCCCGGAGCGCAGCACAUGUCGCGCAAACGAGUGCCUUGGUACGGCGGCGUCCAUAAGCCCCUCUCUCACGCUCUUGACCUCGGAUCAGGUAGGGAUACCCGCUGAACUUAAGC
rnacentral:misc_RNA from 1 species